rnacentral:misc_RNA from 1 species
GGUUCUUGAAGCAGAUCAGAUUAAUGAAACAGGGAAUGCUGCUGAGGGACUUUCUGCUCACGUUAAUGAAGCAGGGAAUGGUACUGAGGAAUUUUCAGCUCAUAUUUCUUGUGGAUCUAGACAGAGUGGAUUGAAAUUAUGCUGUGAUAAGUCCAGGCCUGGUAUCCUGGCCAAUGAUGUUUCUGUUUCACUUGGAGCUAUGGGUUGCCAUGAUGGAACUUUGCAUAAAGAGAAAAUGGAUGCUUUGCCUUCUAUUGAUGGAAAUAACUGUGGUGAGGGUGCUAACAGAAAUGAAAGAAAUGGUUUCCAUCCUCUGACGCCACCCAGAUCAAAAAGUCCAGAUAUGAAUUUUGGAGGGUUUUCAGAAGCAAGACAUCAUAUCCGGCAAGAUAAUUUGAAAUUGGAGAAUUCAUUAAACUAUAAUAGAUCUAAAAGGGCCACUAAUGAUGAGAGAAUGGAAGCUGUGAGAUUAACUAGGAGUAUGCCUAGUGCAAGGAAAAACAAACUUUUGGCUGCUAUGAAUCCCCAAAUUGACAAGAAAAGAAGAUUAAGAUCAUCGCCAUGUAAACAGGCUAGUCUUCCAGGUUCUCGCC